rnacentral:rRNA from 1 species
AUUGAACGCUGGCGGCAUGCUUUACACAUGCAAGUCGAACGGUAACAGGGUGCUUGCACCGCUGACGAGUGGCGAACGGGUGAGUAAUGCGUCGGAACGUGCCGAGUAGUGGGGGAUAACGCAGCGAAAGUUGUGCUAAUACCGCAUACGUACUGAGGUAGAAAGUGGGGGACCUUCGGGCCUCACGCCAUUCGAGCGGCCGACGUCGGAUUAGCGGGUAGGUGAGGUAAAGGCUCACCUAGGCGACGAUCAGUAGCGGGUCUGAGAGGAUGAUCCGCCACACUGGGACUGAGACACGGCCCAGACUCCUACGGGAGGCAGCAGUGGGGAAUUUUGGACAAUGGGCGAAAGCCUGAUCCAGCCAUGCCGCGUGUCUGAAGAAGGCCUUCGGGUUGUAAAGGACUUUUGUCAGGGAGGAAAUCCCUAGUGCUAAUAACACUGGGGGAUGACAGUACCUGAAGAAUAAGCACCGGCUAACUACGUGCCAGCCGCCGCCGUAA